AAAAGAGUUUUUAGGGCUCUUGUGUAUUGAGUAUUCGAGGUCAUGGCGCCCGCGGCUACCACGGCGAUCGCGUCGGCUUCCACCACAGAUCGCCUCCUCCGCCGCCAGCUUCCAAUGCUGCCUUGUUGAUGAGGAUAUUGCCGAGGCCUAUACGUAGACAAAUGUAUAUGUGUGGUGUGCCUUAGAUUGUUUACUGAGGCGCUGGAAGAGCUACACCGGCUGUGUUUCUCUCCCUCUGGAUCAAGUAAGCCACUUUGGCACAUUGUGGCACAUAUGGUAACGUCUGUGCCCACUCCUGGACACAGCCAAGUGUUGUUUCCGCUGGAAAGCCGUGAAGAGCUAUCUAUCUGUGUAUAGAUAUUGCUUGUUAUUCCCUACUUCGCUGCUAGUGCUCCUAGGAUUUGCUUGGAAGCAAGUUCCCGGGUGGAAAGAGGAGCAAAGAAAGCCACCGUGUGAUCGAGGAAAGCUUCUGGAGGUCCCAUCUUCUGGAAAAUUCGCCGCUCUCUGUCUUAAGGUGGCUAUAUUUCCUCUCUCACUCACGCUAUACACUUCGUCAAGGCGAAAGCACGGAGGCGUGAAGUGUUACAACAAUGCUCUUUGCAACUCCUGCGUGUACAAUAUUGAAUUUUCUGCCCUUGCGUAGUGGAACCCAAAGAUGUGAAACACAUCAAUCCGGAGCAAGAAGAGGAAGAACGAAGUGGCAAAAAUGUCCGUAUCAUUGAUAUAGAGGACAAUGUCUUGCCAGAAUCUUCCGAGGCUGAAAAGUUUCAAGCGGCUUUAGCUUACUAGAAUCUUGUUGUAGCGGAGCGCGGCCAACAACAAUGUGCUUACGCUGCUUUUGUUUUUCAGCCCUUUUCGACUGUGGUUCGCCAGUCCGGCGGAAAUCUUUUUUGCUG